UUCUCCUCAUUUCCCUCAAAUUACGAAAAACAAACGAACACAAAAACAAGGCAACCAAGAAUCGACACAACGUAUUAGGAGGAUCGGAUAGCGAU
rnacentral:ribozyme from 1 species